GACGAACGCUGGCGGCGUGCUUAACACAUGCAAGUCGAACGGAAAGGCCUCUUUCGGGGGGUACUCGAGUGGCGAACGGGUGAGUAACACGUGAGUAACCUGCCCUUGACUUUGGGAUAACUUCAGGAAACUGGGGCUAAUACCGGAUAGGAGCUCCUGCUGCAUGGUGGGGGUUGGAAAGUUUCGGCGGUUGGGGAUGGACUCGCGGCUUAUCAGCUUGUUGGUGGGGUAGUGGCUUACCAAGGCUUUGACGGGUAGCCGGCCUGGGAGGGUGACCGGCCAAGGGGGGAAAGAGAAGAGGCCCAGAUCACGGGGGGGGGGAGGAGGGGGGAAGAGGGAAAAAGGGGGGGAGGCAGGAGGCAGAAAGGCGGGGGGGGGGAGGGCGGCCUGGGGGGGGUAAACCGUGUUGGACAAGGAAAAAGCUUGGCGUGACGGUAGGGGAAAAAGAAGCACCGGAUAACUACGUG
rnacentral:rRNA from 1 species